ensembl:lncRNA novel transcript
AUAGAUGCUAAUCGCUGCGGAUCGCCCGCCCCAGCUUAAGGUCAGGAGGUAACGCGACCCGCGGUUAUAAAUAACCGCUCAGGGCGGCGGCCGAGGGCAGCGCGCUGGACCCGCGCCCCUCGCCAGCCGCCGGGCCGGCUUGAUUACUGCCCUCCCCGGCCCGACCGCGGGCACCUGAACGCCGACAGCAGAGCACGGCGACCUCUGGGGCUAGCGCGCAAGGUCAGACCAGGUCCAGGGCUUCCCUGCCCUCUGCGGGGACCCUGGAGCACCGACAGCCCCACCUCCCCACCUCCAAGCCCCACUCCCAUCUCCCACCAGGGGCAAGAAGGUGGAGGGAGGCCAGCGGACACAACCCGAGGACCCAGGCGGCCUGCGCCUCCGCGCCAAGCCUGGGGGUGGCCGAUGGCAAGGGAGGCCCGGAGUAACCCAGCCAGUGAGGGCCAGGCUGCAGCUAACACUGAUCCUGCUUCUGGGGCCGACACAGGCCUGGUCUGUGAUGGUGGGACUUACCAGAGCUUAGUGGAAAGAAAAUCCCUGAGUCUGGGGCUUCAGGAGUCUCAGGCUGGGGAGGGACUCUGGUAGCACCCAUGAGGGGACACGUGGUUGUGCCCCAGGGAGGCCAGCCACCUGCUCUCCACUUGCCCUUGGAUAGAAAAGGGAGGUGGAUUUAACCUGCUCCAGGAGACAUGACUUUUAUUUUUAAGACUUUUUAAAAUUGAAGUUAAGCACACACACAGAACACUGCACAAAUCAAAGUGUACAACUGAAAGAAUUUGCACAUGCUUUGCAUACCUGUGCAACCAGCACCCAAAUUAAAAAACAGCACCUCACCGGCACCCAGAAGCCCCUCGAGACCCCUUCCACCUACUGUUCCCGAGUCCAGCCUCUCUCCUGACUCAGCCCGCAGGCGCUCUGGCCUGCUUCUGAACUGUGUGUAGAUGGAGCCAUACAGUGGGUGCCGUUUUGCGUCUGGUUUCUUUUGCUGCAUAUUAUGUUUGUGAGGUUUGUCAGUACUCUCACAGGCAGUCAAGGGCUGUUCGUACCCAUUGCUGGUGGCUUGCCAUUGUGUGGCUCUGUUAAAAUGUAUUCACCCAUGUUACUGCUAAUGGACAUUUGGGGAGGUUCCAGUUCCUGGCUAUGGUGAAUAGUGCCACUAUGAACAUUCUAGUUCCUGUGUAUUGUGAACAUAUGAAUGCAUUUCUGUUGGGUGAAUACCCAGGGCAGGGAUGACGGGGCCCGGCUGUGUGUCUGCUCAGCUUUGGAAGAUACAGGAAUGUUACUUUUUAAUCAUUUCAGUAAGAAUGAUUUUUCAAGGCCAUGCUGGUGUUUGCGAGCCUAACAAAUGGUUGUGAUUCAAGAGGCGAAGGCUCUGGGCGCCUCUUGCUCCCUGCCGGCUCCACCACAGUGCCAUGUGGGCAGGGGAUGGAGUCAUGCCAAGGCCUGGCCAAGGCCACUCCCGCCCUCUGACAUCAGAUUGUGGGCACUAGAUCCCGCUUGGUGGUGAACCGGGUGCGUCAGAACCCAGGGAUUAAAUAGCUUUCGAAAUCCAUCGGCUUGUCCUUGACCAGCCAGAGGGCCAGGGCACGUGCCCAGACCUCCUGCCAGCUCAGGGAUAGGGGAAAACACCAUCCAUGCACACAUUCGAGGCAGCUGCAGAGAGCCGCCCACAGUGGGUCACAGCCCAGGCCCAAGACUGAUGGUCCUGGCCCAAAGUGCUCUGGAGACCUGAGCUCCCGAGACGGGGGUUGGUUGGAGGCUGGGGGCUGUCAGAACCUCUCUCCAGGCACCCAGCUAGGGGCUGAGGAAUCUGCUCUGCCAGCUGUUUUCACAGUGGGAAGCAGGUGGCUUGCACAGGCCUUUGGGGGACCCCAUAUGUUGAGGUAGGAAACGCUGUGGUGUGGCGGGGGAGGGAGCAAGGGGUAUCCUUCCUCUGCACCCAGGGGCCAUCUGCUUUCAAAUCCAGCCACUUGUCCUCCUUCCUGGUAGCAAUAUGGAGCCACCCAGACUCUGCUAGACAUAUGAGUGCUAAAGAUAAAAAUACUCAAAGGACA